AUGUCAGAAAUAGUGUUCUUGACAUUACAUUCCGUUUUAAAGACCUGAACCAGCCUGAUUAUAGUUUAUCACAUUAUAUCAUCACAAAGAAUUUAUAUUUAUUUCUAAACUUUUCUGUGACUGGUAAGCAUGUUCUUGUGUGAGGAAUGAGUUAAUUCAGUGACAGUGAGUCUGUAUAUAUUUAAGGAAGAAAAAGUUGUAAGUAUAUAAUAUUCAUAGUAAUUUGAAGUCUGAAUCUGUGUCUGUUUAUCUACAGGCUCUGCGAUAUGAUUUAGCAUAUCAGAAUGCUCAAUACCUUCGUCUUCGGUUGCCGCUAAUAUGGUAUUUUCAGACUCUCUGAUUUAUGUUACGAAUGUGAACUAAUCCUGUACUUAUGAUAUUGUUGGUGCUCUGUAAGAAUGGCUGAAGUCAAACAGUAAUUUGUAGGGACCUAACCUUUUCAUAGCAGGCCUCAUAUAGAUACGUUGUUUGGUGCAGUAUAUCGUGAAAGUUUAUUUGUACAUUUGUCAUGUUAAGUUUGUAUGUUAAUAGAAUAUAUGUAUAUUUUUAGUACUGCAGUACAGUAGUGUGUACUUGAAUAUAAUUGUUACCAGUAAUACCAUAACUUUCAGAAGACUGCAAUAUGCUUACCGAGAGCUGCAUUUGUAAUGUAAACCAAAUGGCCGUAGUGUUCAUAUUUUAUUGUGAUUUAGAAGAUGUAAUAUUUUCCCCAAAUAAUUUUUUUUUCUAAUCAGUAUACCUAGUUACAGACACACACUUGCAUGUAGUGAGAGGAAAUUCUGAUUCAAAGCAAGGUUCAGCAAUGUGCUGGAUUUUGAAUUUUUUAUGAACUCACUGGUUCAAUACAUUAUUCAAACUGACAAGACAGCAGGUAUGUAUGACACAAUGAAACCUAUUGUAGAAGUUACCAAAAAAUGUUCAGUCACAUAAGAAACUUGAGUGAGUCUGUGGAUAUAUAUAUAUACAGUACAGAUAUUUACGGAAGAAUGGUCGCCAGAUUAAGGACUUCAACAGCACGUAGAAUGCUUUAUGCACAUAAUGUGUGAAAUCGGUGCUUUUCAUCUCAUCUGUUUUAUAAAAAAAGGAGUAUUUUUAAGAUAUGAUUAAUAUUAAGAAAAGUAAAAAGAAAUGUUUGGAUGUUAAUGCAUGAAAGUAUGUUGGUAUUUCAGUGCCUCCUGCUACAUUUCAGUACCACAAUUAAGAAUUAAAAUAUAUUGUACUAUGAU